AUAAGAUGUAGCAGGUUAUGUCCAAAUAUAUAUAAUGUACACAAUUUUAUUUUAAAGUUUAAUCGCGAGAUAAACUGUUCGACGGAACAAUCCGCAGUAAUUUUUAUCACUUGUUCGCGAUACACAAUUUAAUAUUUCAAUUAUUUAAUUUUGUCACAAUAACUAUCGACUUCAAGAAUUUGUGUUAAUGGCAAGGCAUAUGAGAGGUCGAGUUGCUACACUAAUAAGGCCAGCUCGCAAUGCAUCAAGUGUUAAGAAUCCAGGUUGAGAACACAAUGGACAUGCUAAGAGUCGUGCGCACAUUUUGUUGAUUAUAGAAUUUAUAUUUAAUAUAUAUUGUUAUUGUAAUUAUAUUGUUAUGUAUUUAUAUUGUUUUAAUUAUAUAUUAUAUAAAUAUU